UUAAUCCAUGAUGUUAAUUGUCUGGCUGCGGGUCUCCAAACUUCAGGACUUGUCAAGCGUGGUCAUUGUGUUGCCAUGGCACAACCUAAUUCUAUUGAAUUUGUAGUUACACUGCUAGCUGUAAACCGAGUUGGGGCAUUCAUUUCACUGAUUAACCCUGUCUAUACUCCCCGAGAGCUCAAGCAUGUUUCUAGCAUAAACAAUGCUGGUUUGUGGAUUUGCACACUGGAAUUCGUUUCAUUACUUUCCCAACUUGACAAAACAGAGUACAAAACUCCCCUCGUCGAUAGUUCAAAUAAAGUGCGUUCGCAGUGGCAUUCAGUUCUCAAGUCUGGUGAGUCCAGGACGUUCCCAUCAGUCUCCGUUAAUGUCUUUGAAGACCUUGCCACUAUGCCAUUUCCAGCGAGACGAAGGGUUUGCCUAAGAGAGUCAUGCUCACCCAUCACAACCUCGUGACUGCAUUGUGCAAAUUAUAGGUGUCAGCCAUGUAAACUUCCUGGCACUGUGUUUUGUAUUCACUGUUAAAGGAAAUGCAUAGCAGUGAGAAUGAUAUGCAGCCCAGUUUUCACCUAUAUGUUCCAAUCUCCUCAAAGUUGUCGACGGGACUCAUUUUCCUCACCUUCCGAAUGGGAUAUGACGGUUUUAUUGAUAGCAAAGAUCCGAGUGAUUCGAACUGGACUGCUAGCUGUUAUUAAGAAACUUUAAAUGCAGUUGAGCAACUGUUCCAGAAUAAGAAUGUAUUCUGUGUAUCAUUUAAAUGCAAAUAGUGUAUUUCAAUACAUUUCCAACAACCUAUU